GACGAACGCUGGCGGCGUGCCUAAUACAUGCAAGUUGAGCGCUGAAGGUUGGUACUUGUACCAACUGGAUGAGCAGCGAACGGGUGAGUAACGCGUGGGGAAUCUGCCUUUGAGCGGGGGACAACAUUUGGAAACGAAUGCUAAUACCGCAUAAAAACUUUAAACACAAGUUUUAAGUUUGAAAGAUGCAUUUGCAUCACUCAAAGAUGAUCCCGCGUUGUAUUAGCUAGUUGGUGAGGUAAAGGCUCACCAAGGCGAUGAUACAUAGCCGACCUGAGAGGGUGAUCGGCCACAUUGGGACUGAGACACGGCCCAAACUCCUACGGGAGGCAGCAGUAGGGAAUCUUCGGCAAUGGACGAAAGUCUGACCGAGCAACGCAGCGUGAGUGAAGAAGGUUUUCGGAUCGUAAAACUCUGUUGGUAGAGAAGAACGUUGGUGAGAGUGGAAAGCUCAUCAAGUGACGGUAACUACCCAGAAAGGGACGGCUAACUACGUG
rnacentral:rRNA from 1 species